CAAUGGAAUGAUGAUAACAGUUGUUCGGAAAAUAUUAUGUCGACCAAAACUCAGACUACAAUUAUCUGACCUUUU